rnacentral:rRNA from 1 species
AGAGUUUGAUCAUGGCUCAGAUUGAACGCUGGCGGCGUGCCUAACACAUGCAAGUCGAGCGGUAACAGGUGUAGCAAUACAUGCUGACGAGCGGCGAACGGGUGAGUAAUGCUUCGGAAUCUACCCAAUGGCGGGGAAUAACUAGCCGAAAGGUUAGCUAAUACCGCAUAAGCCCUACGGGGGAAAGCAGGGGAUCGUAAGACCUUGCACCGAUGGAUGAGCCGAAGCCAGAUUAGCUAGUUGGUAGGGUAACGGCCUACCAAGGCGACGAUCCGUAGCUGGUCUGAGAGGACGACCAGCCACACUGGGACUGAGACACGGCCCAGACUCCUACGUGAGGCAGCAGUGGGGAAUAUUGGACAAUGGGGGCAACCCUGAUCCAGCGACGCCGCGUGUGUGAAGAAGGCCUGCGGGUUGUAAAGCACUUUUAGUGGGGAUGAAAAGUUCAGGGCUAAUACCUCUGGAUCUUGACCUAACCCAAAGAAAAAGCACCGGCUAACUCUGUGCCAGCAGCCGCGGUAAUACAGAGGGUGCAAGCGUUAAUCGGAAUUACUGGGCGUAAAGCGUGCGUAGACGGUUAUGUAAGUCGGGUGUGAAAGCCCCGGGCUCAACCUUGGGAAUUGCAUUCGAGACUGUGUAGCUAGGGUACGGAAGAGGGAAGCGGAAUUUCAGGUGUAGCGGUGAAAUGCGUAGAUAUCUGAAGGAACACCAGUGGCGAAAGCGGCUUCCUGGUCCAGUACCGACGUUCAGGCACGAAAGCGUGGGGAGCAAACAGGAUUAGAUACCCUAGUAGUCC